UACGGAGGGUGCAAGCGUUAUCCGGAUUUACUGGGUUUAAAGGGUGCGUAGGCGGGGAAUUAAGUCAGAGGUGAAAUCUCGUCGCUUAACGACGGAAUUGCCUUUGAUACUGAUUUUCUUGAGAUAUGUUGAGGUUGGCGGAAUGUGACAUGUAGCGGUGAAAUGCAUAGAUAUGUCAUAGAACACCGAUUGCGAAGGCAGCUGACUGGGCAUUAUCUGACGCUGAUGCACGAAAGCGUGGGGAUCAAACAGG
rnacentral:rRNA from 1 species